rnacentral:rRNA from 1 species
AACGAACGCUGGCGGCAGGCCUAACACAUGCAAGUCGAACGCUCCGCAAGGGGAGUGGCGCACGGGUGAGUAACAUGUGGGAACCUACCUUCUGGUACGGAACAACCAAGGGAAACUUUGGCUAAGACCGUAUACGACCUCCGGGUGAAAGAUUGAUCGCCGGAAGAGGGGCCCGCGUCCGAUUAGGUAGUUGGUGAGGUAACGGCUCACCAAGCCUUCGAUCGGUAGCUGGUCUGAGAGGAUGACCAGCCACACUGGGACUGAGACACGGCCCAGACUCCUACGGGAGGCAGCAGUGGGGAAUAUUGGACAAUGGGCGCGAGCCUGAUCCAGCCAUGCCGCGUGAGUGAUGAAGGCCUUC